UACGUAGGGCGCAAGCGUGUCCGGAAUUAUUGGGCGUAAAGAGCUCGUAGGUGGCUUGUCGCGUCUGCCGUGAAAGCCCAUGGCUUAACUGUGGGUCUGCGGUGGAUACGGGCAGGCUGGAGGCUGGUAGGGGCAAGCGGAAUUCCUGGUGUAGCGGUGAAAUGCGCAGAUAUCAGGAGGAACACCGGUGGCGAAGGCGGCUUGCUGGGCCAGUUCUGACGCUGAGGAGCGAAAGCGUGGGGAGCGAACAGG
rnacentral:rRNA from 1 species